rnacentral:rRNA from 1 species
GUGCCAGCCGCCGCGGUAAUACGGAGGGUGCAAGCGUUAAUCGGAAUUACUGGGCGUAAAGCGCACGCAGGCGGUCUGACAAGUCGGAUGUGAAAUCCCCGGGCUCAACCCGGGAACUGCAUUCGAAACUGUCAGGCUGGAGUCUUGUAGAGGGGGGUAGAAUUCCAGGUGUAGCGGUGAAAUGCGUAGAGAUCUGGAGGAAUACCGGUGGCGAAGGCGGCCCCCUGGACAAAGACUGACGCUCAGGUGCGAAAGCGUGGGGAGCAAACAGGAUUAGAUACCCUGGUAGUCCACGCUGUAAACGAUGUCGACUUGGAGGUUGUGCCCUUGAGGCGUGGCUUCCGGAGCUAACGCGUUAAGUCGACCGCCUGGGGAGUACGGCCGCAAGGUUAAAACUCAAAUGAAUUGACGGGGGCCCGCACAAGCGGUGGAGCAUGUGGUUUAAUUCGAUGCAACGCGAAGAACCUUACCUGGUCUUGACAUCCACAGAAGUUUUCAGAGAUGAGAAUGUGCCUUCGGGAACUGUGAGACAGGUGCG